rnacentral:tRNA from 1 species
UCCCCGGUGGCUCAGAGGUAAAGAAUCUGCCUGCCAAUGCAGGAGACACAGGUUCAAUCCCUGGUCUGGGAA